rnacentral:rRNA from 1 species
GACGAACGCUGGCGGCGUGCCUAAUACAUGCAAGUAGAACGCUGAAGAGAGGAGCUUGCUCUUCUUGGAAGAGUUGCGAACGGGUGAGUAACGCGUAGGUAACCUGCCUUGUAGCGGGGGAUAACUAUUGGAAACGAUAGCUAAUACCGCAUAACAAUGGGUGACCCAUGUCAUUCAUUUAAAAGGGGCAACUGCUCCACUACAAGAUGGACCUGCGUUGUAUUAGCUAGUAGGUGAGGUAACGGCUCACCUAGGCGACGAUACAUAGCCGACCUGAGAGGGUGAUCGGCCACACUGGGACUGAGACACGGCCCAGACUCCUACGGGAGGCAGCAGUAGGGAAUCUUCGGCAAUGGGGGCAACCCUGACCGAGCAACGCCGCGUGAGUGAAGAAGGUUUUCGGAUCGUAAAGCUCUGUUGUAAGUCAAGAACGAGUGUGAGAGUGGAAAGUUCACACUGUGACGGUAGCUUACCAGAAAGGGACGGCUAACUACGUGCCAGCAGCCGCGGUAAUACGUAGGUCCCGAGCGUUGUCCGGGUUUAUUGGGCGUAAAGCGAGCGCAGGCGGUUUGAUAAGUCUGAAGUUAAAGGCUGUGGCUCAACCAUAGUUUGCUUUGGAAACUGUCAAACUUGAGUGCAGAAGGGGAGAGUGGAAUUCCAUGUGUAGCGGUGAAAUGCGUAGAUAUAUGGAGGAACACCGGUGGCGAAAGCGGCUCUCUGGUCUGUAACUGACGCUGAGGCUCGAAAGCGUGGGGAGCGAACAGG